UCUAAGCCAAUCAGUACCUGAGAUAUUCAAAAGUAGGUCACCGUGACCUACUUUUUGGUCGAAAUGCUCUGAAAACCUAAGAUGCAUCUACUGACAAACCCCUGCGAGGUGAAAUUCAUGAUUUCAGGAACUUUUAUGAAUCGUUCAUGAACAUUCAUGAUGUGUUCAUGACUGGUUCAUGACUGGUUCAUAAAGAUGGUUCAUGAACUUUAUUCAUGAAUAUAUUCAUAAAAUGUAGUUCAUGAACAAAUGAUGAAUUUAUAUGAAUAUUGGUAAUUUUCAUUUUAAAGACAGAAAAAAUGUAGAGUUCAGGGUAUCGUGAAUGUUCAUGAAUUUUCAUGAAGACUAAAAUAAUUGACAAAAAUGAUUGACAGAAAACACUCAAUACUCUUAUAAUACAACUUUUGCAUGCAGAUGCAAUUGUUGAACAAGCCCCUGGUAUAAUUUAUAGUUAAUAACAUUCUUUCACCAUCUGAAAAAAAUAAAUCAUGAAAUCUCUAAACAUUUCGUGUUUUUAUUUGAUUUUAAUUAAACAAACAGUGCAUCACCAUUGACAGCAUUUUUUUUUUUCAAAUUCAUUACUUGUGUUUCUUCAUAAUUUAAAUUAAACAGUUAUAUUCAUCAUAAUGUGCUUUAAUUAAUGUCGUUUUUCAUCACACAACUUUGUUCGACCGAAUUUUCUCUAACAUCAAACUUUAAACAAGUUGUUGGAAAAUGAAACAUUCUGGAAAAUGAACUUUGUGAGCUUCGUAAAAAACGUUUUAUAUAUAUUAACAACUAAAGAAUUAUAUCACUUGUCUGUACUGUACCGUAUUAUUCCUGGAUCGAAACGCUAUAUACAUUUCAAUUUUGGUGCACUUAAAAUGUCAAAAGUUUCCCUUGCUUCGUGCGUAAAUGAUAGAGCACAGACUGCAAGGUUGUAAAGUAUCUAUGACAUAAUCCACAUUCGUAUUUUGUAGUUUUAAUUCUCCUAUGAGUCUUCACAGCUCAGAAUAUUCUGUCUGAGGGCGAGAGAUUGUUAUUAUCAUGUCAUAGGGGGCCGCCAUACUUGCUAUACGAAACUAAAAGUCAAUACAUGUAUAAUUUAUGACGUAAAAAAUUCGAAUUCUUCAUUGAUAAAACUUUUUUUGAUAUAAAAAAUUGUAUUUUCAGUGAAAAAUUAUUCAGAUAGUGUUUGUAAUUUUAUUUUAAACAGAAAUCUUGGAAAUUCGAAGCUAACGUAUUUCUUAGCUCUACCGUACAUUUUUGAAUAGGCGCAAACUUGAAAACGCGCGAGACGUUGGAAGUGGGAAUUUGUAGAGUGGAAGAAUCAGUAUUUGUGAUCUAUUAUUUGCAUAGUUACUGUGCCGUUUUCGUAUUGCAUAAUUUUAUUUCGAUCGGGUUCAAUAUUCUGUUUAUACUAAUUAUGGUAGCCAUGCGGUUUGCCUGGCGUUUUGGCUGUUAAGUUUGGUGAUGUUGGCCUCCCUAAGGAUUUUUCACCCUCUCACAAGAUGUGUCCAAUAAACAGUACAGUCACUGAUCUUUGUCAACUUUUUAAGAAAAUAACAGAAUAUGAAGAAGGACGACUAUAUAUAUAGGAUCGAUCUACUUCAUAACUGGAAAGUGAGAAGCAGUUCACAAAUGUUGAUGAGCAGAAGACAAGAAACUCUGGCUGCACAAAAAUCUGAUCUCUUGAAAAAGAAAGAAAAAAAGGAAAUGAAAAUAUGAAUGACAUUCAAUCAAACGAUCUAAAUGAUGAAAUUCUGGAUAUUCCACAUGGAGAGACAAUAAGGAUUUUUGAAUUGACCAUCUCUGCUCAAACUGCUUGAAAGCACUGAAAACUGUUACCCUGGUGCUGAACAAACUUUUCUCUUAGACUGGAAUUAAAAACUGUUCAAUUUCUGGCAUUAAAACACAAUUUGAAACAUGCUGAGGAAGGAUCCCCUCUCCUUUUGACCAAGUAAGGUUAAACUUUCUGCAAAGAGUUGCAUUUGAAUUGAAUUUUUUUUAUACUUUUUAUACCAGGAAUGAACUACAUUACUCAUUUACUAUGGUUUAGUGAGUCAGAAUUGUCUAUUUUAAGUUUUUUAACAAAGAUUUUGUUGCCAUGGUUGGAAAACAAACAACAUUUCUGUGAAAUCUUUCAAGAUGCUGUAUUAUAAAUCAUCUACUGUUAUUUUUUUAGCAUGACUUCAUGCAUUUUCAUGAAUAAACAUGAAUAAUAA